rnacentral:rRNA from 1 species
GAGUAAUGUCUGGGAAACUGCCUGAUGGAGGGGGAUAACUACUGGAAACGGUGGCUAAUACCGCAUAACGUCGCAAGACCAAAGAGGGGGACCUUCGGGCCUCUUGCCAUCAGAUGUGCCCAGAUGGGAUUAGCUUGUUGGUGAGGUAACGGCUCACCAAGGCGACGAUCCCUAGCUGGUCUGAGAGGAUGACCAGCCACACUGGAACUGAGACACGGUCCAGACUCCUACGGGAGGCAGCAGUGGGGAAUAUUGCACAAUGGGCGCAAGCCUGAUGCAGCCAUGCCGCGUGUAUGAAGAAGGCCUUCGGGUUGUAAAGUACUUUCAGCGGGGAGGAAGGUGUUGUGGUUAAUAACCGCAGCAAUUGACGUUACCCGCAGAAGAAGCACCGGCUAACUCCGUGCCAGCAGCCGCGGUAAUACGGAGGGUGCAAGCGUUAAUCGGAAUUACUGGGCGUAAAGCGCACGCAGGCGGUCUGUCAAGUCGGAUGUGAAAUCCCCGGGCUCAACCUGGGAACUGCAUUCGAAACUGGCAGGCUUGAGUCUUGUAGAGGGGGGUAGAAUUCCAGGUGUAGCGGUGAAAUGCGUAGAGAUCUGGAGGAAUACCGGUGGCGAAGGCGGCCCCCUGGACAAAGACUGACGCUCAGGUGCGAAAGCGUGGGGAGCAAACAGGAUUAGAUACCCUGGUAGUCCACGCCGUAAACGAUGUCUACUUGGAGGUUGUGCCCUUGAGGCGUGGCUUCCGGAGCUAACGCGUUAAGUAGACCGCCUGGGGAGUACGGCCGCAAGGUUAAAACUCAAAUGAAUUGACGGGGGCCCGCACAAGCGGUGGAGCAUGUGGUUUAAUUCGAUGCAACGCGAAGAACCUUACCUGGUCUUGACAUCCACAGAACAUUCCAGAGAUGGAUUGGUGCCUUCGGGAACUGUGAGACAGGUGCUGCAUGGCUGUCGUCAGCUCGUGUUGUGAAAUGUUGGGUUAAGUCCCGCAACGAGCGCAACCCUUAUCCUUUGUUGCCAGCGGUCCGGCCGGGAACUCAAAGGAGACUGCCAGUGAUAAACUGGAGGAAGGUGGGGAUGACGUCAAGUCAUCAUGGCCCUUACGACCAGGGCUACACACGUGCUACAAUGGCGCAUACAAAGAGAAGCGACCUCGCGAGAGCAAGCGGACCUCAUAAAGUGCGUCGUAGUCCGGAUUGGAGUCUGCAACUCGACUCCAUGAAGUCGGAAUCGCUAGUAAUCGUGGAUCAGAAUGCCACGGUGAAUACGUUCCCGGGCCUUGUACACACCGCCCGUCACACCAUGGGAGUGGGUUGCAAAAGAAGUAGGUAGCUUAACCUUCGGGAGGGCGCUUACCACUUUGUGAUUCAUGACUGGGGUGAAGUCGUAACAAGGUAACCGUAGGGGAACCUGC